rnacentral:rRNA from 1 species
UCGAGAGUUUGAUCCUGGCUCAGGAUGAACGCUAGCGGCAGGCCUAACACAUGCAAGUCGAGGGGUAGAGGAAGCUUGCUUCCUUGAGACCGGCGCACGGGUGCGUAACGCGUAUGCAAUCUACCUUAUACAGGGAACUAGCCCAGAGAAAUUUGGAUUAAUGCCCCAUAGUGUUAUUGAAUCGCAUGGUUUAAUACUAAAGUUCCAACGGUAUAAGAUGAGCAUGCGUCCCAUUAGUUAGUUGGUAAGGUAACGGCUUACCAAGCAAUGAUGGUAGGGUCCUGAGAGGGAGAUCCCCCGACACU